rnacentral:lncRNA from 1 species
AAACUUGACAGUCCCUCUUGCCUGGAGCAUUAACACAACGUGGCUGCAAAGUUAGUCCUUUCCCGCUACCAUCUCCUGAAUACUGGGACUAACUACACGUAUGCACGAACCUGCCCAUCUUUGCCUCUGUUAACAGCUGCCACUGUCUCUUCACGACAUGAUGGCUGACCUAGGUUGGAAGGAACAGAGCCAGUUGGCCAUGGACUGAAACUUUUGGAACUGAUUCUGAGGAGUUAAUGUUUCCAUGAAUAUCUCAGAAGGAGAUGUGGACAAACGAACAGUUAUCUCACUCCUGUAGGUUGGACUACAGUGAUCACUGAGUAGGAGCUUCGUCUUUAAAAUCUGGGGUGUGCUGUUAUGCAAUCUUCUUUCCCUGCCCAGUACUGGAUCUGUGAAAAGCUGAAUCAUGAAUCAGUGAGUGUGCGGAUUGGAACCCAAGUUGCUCUCUGGAUAGAACGAAAGGAGUCGUGCCCCAAGAAGAUGGAGAGGGAAGUUAUGAAAUGCUGUGACCAAAUAACAAAUGCUGAUGUUUGGGGAGAUAACUGUUUCCCAUAGGAAAUAGAGUGAAUGCGAUGUCUUUCUUUUGUGAGGGAUUCAUAGACCGCUUCUCAACGCUUGUUACAUGUUACUCCUUUUUUCGAGAUUUUUAUUUACCUAACUGGGAAAGAAACCAGAACAAGGUUUUCAUUGAAUUCUGAUACAGGUAUUUAAAGACUUACGGACAAGAUAUAGAAGAAGAAGUGGUAAUUAACUGAUUAAAGAAGUACAGUUUAUAUCCAGUAGACAGACAGGCUCCAGACAUCCUUAGUGCUGUCUUAGCAUCAAAGGUUAAUCUACCUAAUACUUGUCAUCCUGAAAUGCAUGGUGGAACAUCCAACAGACAAGAGCUACUUCAGGGAAGGACUAUGAUUUUUGUCGUGGAAGACAUUUAACACAGGGCAGCUCCUGUGCACUUACAUGAUAGAUAUUGCUCUUCCGGGGACUCUGAAUGCUCAUCCCACUUUCAGCUCACUAGGCACAUCGAACUAGAAAUUUUAUCAUCUCGUGAAUUAGUCCAAUACCUGAAGGAGCAAGAGAACCAACACCCAGUUGACAAGAAUAUGACCUGUUGAUUGAAGACCAUUAAGAAAGUAACUUGAUUCAGUUGGACUGGACUUUUUUAUUCUAUUGAAAAAGGAAUUUAUUUCCCCUCAGUGAACGUAACAUGAUCAACAUUUUGAAAGUUGUGAACAUGCAUAGUUCUAUAAUUUACAAAAUAAUUAUAAAAAUCUGAGUAUGGAUGCAGCAUAAUUUCAGAACAGAAUAGCCAUCAUACUUUUUAUAUAUCUUAAAUUCGAGUUUUCAAGAGUAUAUUUCUAUGUUAUAUCCUUUGAUUAGUACAAUAUAAAAUCUACAUCUAAUAUGUACUUCAGGUUUUAUUAGAUCAUGCCAUAUUACUGUACAAUUUGGACUUUUCCAUUUUUAUAUAAAAUGUAACAUGCAUUGUACAUUAAUAUUUAUAUAUCUUGUUUAUUUAUAUAUCUUUAGAAUUAAUUUCUGCCAAUUAUUUUCUUUAUUUGAAUACUUGGGGUAUCAUAAAGGUGCUGUUGAGGUAUUCUCAAUAUGCUUGUACAACUUCCUGCCUGUAGUUAAUAAAUGUGGAUAUUUCAUUAAACAAUUGAAAUAUAA